GACGAACGCUGGCGGCGUGCUUAACACAUGCAAGUCGAACGGAAAGGCCUGCUUUCCCUUGUGGAUUGCGGGUACUCGAGUGGCGAACGGGUGAGUAACACGUGAGUGAUCUGCCCCCAACUUGGGUAUAAGCCUGGGAAACUGGGUCUAAUUCCCGAUAGGACUGCAGGGUGGUGCCUGUGGUGGAAAACGAUUUUCUAGUGGUUGGGGAUGAGCUCGCGGCCUAUCAGCUUGUUGGUGGGGUAAUGGCCUACCAAGGCGGCGACGGGUAGCCGGCCUGGGAGGGUGGACGGCCACAUUGGGACUGAGAUACGGCCCAGACUCCUACGGGAGGCAGCAGUAGGGAAUAUUGCACAAUGGGCGGAAGCCUGAUGCAGCGACGCCGCGUGGGGGAUGACGGCCUUCGGGUUGUAAACUCCUUUCGACCGCGAGGAAGCCACCUGGUUGGAAGGGUGGUGACGGUAGUGGUAGAAGAAGCACCGGCUAACUACGUG
rnacentral:rRNA from 1 species